UACGUAGGGGGCAAGCGUUGUCCGGAAUCAUUGGGCGUAAAGCGCGUGUAGGCGGCUUGGUAAGUCCGCUCUGAAGGCCCGGGGCUCAACCCCGGGAGGCGGGUGGAUACUGUCAAGCUCGAGUCCGGAAGAGGCGAGUGGAAUUCCUGGUGUAGCGGUGAAAUGCGCAGAUAUCAGGAGGAACACCAAUGGCGAAGGCAGCUCGCUGGGACGUGACUGACGCUGAGACGCGAAAGCGUGGGAGGC
rnacentral:rRNA from 1 species